rnacentral:rRNA from 1 species
CAGCUCAAUANCGUAUAUUAAANGUUGUUGCAGUUAAAAAGCUCGUAGUUGUGAUUUCGGAAGGGUCCUUAGCAGUCCGCCCCUUCGGGGAGCGGGCUGCUGGCCUCCUAUGUUCCUAACGGUCCUCACCCGCGAGGGUGGGGAAUCAACCGCUAGGAUCGUUUACUUUGAGGAAAUAGAGUGUUCAAAGCAGGCGUAACUCGCCUCCGAAUACGUUAGCAUGGGAUAAUGGAAUACGGACUUCGGUCUUGUUUSGUUGGUUYCGCUUGGCUGAAGUAAUGAUUGAUAGGGACAGUUGGGGSCAUUAGUAUUUAGUUGUCAGAGGUGAAAUUYUAGGAUUUAYUAAAGACUGACCAAUGCGAAAGCAUUUGCCAAGGAUGUUUUCAUUAAUCAAGAACGAAAGUAGGGGGAUCGAAGACGAUCAGAUACCGUCGUAGUCUYUACCGUAAACUAUGCCGACCAGGGAUCCGGAGAGUUUGCAUGGAUGACUCCCCGGGCACCUUGUGAGAAAUCAUAAGUGUUUGGGUUUUGGGGGGAGUAUGGUCGCAAGGCUGAAACUUAAAGGAAUUGACGGAAGGGCACCACCAGGAGUGGAACCUGCGGCUUAAUUUGACUCAACACGGGGAAACUUACGAGGUCAGGACACUGUGAGGAUUGACAGAUUGAAAGCUCUUUCUUGAUUCAGUGGGUGGUGGUGCAUGGCCGUUCUUAGUUGGUGGAGUGAUUUGUCUGGUUAAUUCCGUUAACGAACGAGACCUUAACCUGCUAAAUAGUCACGCGAACCGGUCCGCAAGGGCUCAAAGUUCGCGGCUCGACUUCUUAGAGGGACUAUUCGCACCCGCCAGCGAAUGGAAGUUUGAGGCAAUAACAGGUCUGUGAUGCCCUUAGAUGUUNUCGGCCGCACGCGCGUUACACUGACGGAGUCAACGAGCGUUUUUCCUUGCCCGAUAGGGUUGGGUAACCUCCUGAAACUCCGUCGUGAUGGGGAUAGAUCAUUGCAAUUAUUGAUCUUGAACGAGGAAUUCCUAGUAGGCGCGAGUCAUCAACUCGCGCCGAUUACGUCCCUGCCCUUUGUACACACCGCCCGUCGCUCCUACCGAUUGAACGGUCCGGCGAGAACUCCGGAUGGUCGGCGCGCAGGGGUCAAACCCAUGCGUCCGUGCCAGAAGCUGUUCGAACCUUACCGUU